rnacentral:rRNA from 1 species
GACGAACGCUGGCGGCGUGCUUAAACAUGCAAGUCGAACGAGGUCCAACCACUCGCAAGAGUGGGGACGACCUAGUGGCGAACGGGUGCGUAACACGUGAGGAACCUGCCCCGGAGACCGGGAUAACCCUCCGAAAGGAGGGCUAAUACCGGAUGUGCUCAUCGGAUCGCCUGGUCUGAUGAGGAAAUGGAUUCCGCUUCGGGAUGGCCUCGCGGCCUAUCAGCUUGUUGGUGGGGUAACGGCUCACCAAGGCGACGACGGGUAGCUGGUCUGAGAGGACGAUCAGCCACACUGGGACUGAGACACGGCCCAGACUCCUACGGGAGGCAGCAGUUAGGAAUCUUGCGCAAUGGGCGAAAGCCUGACGCAGCAACGCCGCGUGGGGAUGAAGGCUCUCGGGUUGUAAACCCCUUUCAGCAGGGACGAUUGUGACGGUACCUGGCAGAAGAAGGACCGGCCAACUACGUGCCAGCAGCCGCGGUAAUACGUAGGGUCCAAGCGUUGUCCGGAUUUAUUGGGCGUAAAGAGCUCGUAGGCGGCUCAGUAAGUCGGAUGUGAAAACUCAGGGCUCAACCCGGAGACGCCAUCCGAUACUGCUGUGGCUUGAGUCUGGUAGGGGAACACGGAAUACCUGGUGUAGCGGUGAAAUGCGCAGAUAUCAGGUGGAACACCGAUGGCGAAGGCAGUGUUCUGGGCCAAGUACUGACGCUG